GCCUGAAUAGCUUAGUCGGUUAGAGCGUGUUGCUGGUAACGCCAAGGCUGCAGGUUCAAUCCCUGUAUGGGAUA